CAGAAUUGUCGUAACAUUUGAAGUUCAACUAACAGUGUGGCUCAUAAACGAACCAUCCAUCCGUCUUCUGUGCCACGUAUCCUCACUCCGGUUUUGGGGGUAUGCUGGAGCCUAUCCCGUUUGACUUCAGACAAGAAUUAAAGAAAGCAAUGUUAGAUUACAACUUCCAUCCAUCCUCAGUAGGGUCGCUGGGGUAUGCUGGAGCCUAUCCCAGCUGACUUUGGUCGAGAGGCGGGGUACACCCUGGACUGGUCACCACCCAAUCACAGAAAAAAUUGGCAUAUUUCAGACAUGAUUACAACUUCCAUCCAUCCUCACUAGGGUCGCUGGGGUAUGCUGGAGCCUAUCCCAGCUGACCGUGGUCGAGAGGCGGGGUACACGCUGGACUAGUCACCACCCAAUCACAGGGUCGCUGGGGUACGCUGGAGCCUAUCCCAGCUGACUUUGGGAUUUGAGAGGCGGGGUACACCCUGGACUGGUCACCAGCCAAUCACAGUAAAAACGGGCAUAUUUCAGACAUGAUUACAACUUCCAUCCAUCCUCACUAGGGUCGCUGGGGUACGCUGGAGCCUAUCCCAGCUGACUUUGGUCGAGAGGCGGGGUACACCCCGGACUACUCACCACCCAAUCACAGAAUGAGCCAUGGGCCACAAAUGGCCCCCGGGUGCACUUUGGACAACCCUGACAGACUGUACUUACAGCAAAUAAAACCACUUUAUCUUCAGCAGUGCUCCAAUGUGGCAUUGCACAUCAGUUUCCAAUCCA